rnacentral:rRNA from 1 species
CCCUACGGGAGGCAGCAGUGAGGAAUAUUGGUCAAUGGGCGGGAGCCUGAACCAGCCAAGUCGCGUGAGGGAAGACGGUCCUAUGGAUUGUAAACCUCUUUAGGCGGGGAGCAAUGCCGGGCACGCGUGUCCGGAGGGAGAGUACCCGCAGAAUAAGCAUCGGCUAACUCCGUGCCAGCAGCCGCGGUAAUACGGAGGAUGCGAGCGCUAUCCGGAUUUAUUGGGUUUAAAGGGUGCGUAGGCGGAUUUUUAAGUCAGCGGUAAAAUGUCCGGGCUCAACCCGGGGCGGCCGUUGAAACUGGGGG